UGUGGUUUAAUUCGAUGAUACGCGAGGAACCUUACCAAGGCUUAAAUGGGAAUUGACAGGUUUAGAAAUAGACUUUUCUUCGGACAAUUUUCAAGGUGCUGCAUGGUUGUCGUCAGCUCGUGCCGUGAGGUGUUAGGUUAAGUCCUGCAACGAGCGCAACCCCUGUCACUAGUUGCUAGCAUUAAGUUGAGGACUCUAGUGAGACUGCCUACGCAAGUAGAGAGGAAGGUGGGGAUGACGUCAAAUCAUCACGGCCCUUACGCCUUGGGCCACACACGUAAUACAAUGGCCAGUACAGAGGGCUGCUACCAGGCGACUGGAUGCUAAUCUCGAAAGCUGGUCUCAGUUCGGAUUGGAGUCUGCAACUCGACUCUAUGAAGCUGGAAUCGCUAGUAAUCGCGCAUCAGCCAUGGCGCGGUGAAUACGUUCCCGGGCCUUGUACACACCGCC
rnacentral:rRNA from 1 species